rnacentral:rRNA from 1 species
GACGAACGCUGGCGGCGUGCUUAACACAUGCAAGUCGAACGGAAAGGCCUCUUUCGGGGGGUACUCGAGUGGCGAACGGGUGAGUAACACGUGAGUAACCUGCCCUUGACUUUGGGAUAACUUCAGGAAACUGGGGCUAAUACCGGAUAGGAGCUCCUGCUGCAUGGUGGGGGUUGGAAAGUUUCGGCGGUUGGGGAUGGACUCGCGGCUUAUCAGCUUGUUGGUGGGGUAGUGGCUUACCAAGGCUUUGACGGGUAGCCGGCCUGAGAGGGUGACCGGCCACAUUGGGACUGAGAUACGGCCCAGACUCCAACGGGAGGCAGCAGUGGGGAAUAUUGCACAAUGGGUGGAAGCCUGAUGCAGCAACGCCGUGUGCGGGAUGACGGCCUUCGGGUUGUAAACCGCUUUCGCUCAUGACGAAGCUUUGUGUGACGGUAGUGGGUAAAGAAGCACCGGCUAACUACGU